UAGGGAAUCUUCGGCAAUGGGGGCAACCCUGACCGAGCAACGCCGCGUGAGUGAAGAAGGUUUUCGGAUCGUAAAGCUCUGUUGUAAGAGAAGAACGUGUGUGAGAGUGGAAAGUUCACACAGUGACGGUAACUUACCAGAAAGGGACGGCUAACUACGUGCCAGCAGCCGCGGUAAUACGUAGGUCCCGAGCGUUGUCCGGAUUUAUUGGGCGUAAAGCGAGCGCAGGCGGUUUAAUAAGUCUGAAGUUAAAGGCAGUGGCUUAACCAUUAUUCACUUUGGGAACUGUUAAACUGGGGUGCAGAAGGAGAGAGUGGAAUUCCAUGUGUAGCGGUGAAAUGCGUAGAUAUAUGGAGGAACACCGGUGGCGGAAGCGGCUCUCUGGUCUGUAACUGACGCUGAGGCUCGAAAGCGUGGGGAGCAAACAGG
rnacentral:rRNA from 1 species